rnacentral:rRNA from 1 species
UACAGAGGGUGCAAGCGUUGUCCGGAAUCAUUGGGCGUAAAGCGCGUGUAGGCGGCUGGCUAAGUCCGCUCUGAAAGCCCGGGGCUCAACCCCGGGAGGCGGGUGGAUACUGGUCAGCUCGAGUCCGGAAGAGGAGUGUGGAAUUCCUGGUGUAGCGGUGAAAUGCGCAGAUAUCAGGAGGAACACCAAUGGCGAAGGCAGCACUCUGGGACGGUACUGACGCUGAGACGCGAAAGCGUGGGGAGCAAACAGG